rnacentral:lncRNA from 1 species
AAGACAAUGUUUCAGCCCAACAAAUAUUCCAAAACCAUUUUCCAUUAUGUUCAAAACCUGUGUCUGCUACAAAAAAAUUUGGCAUAGAAGUUUUAAUAUAUAAAGUUGGAUAUAAAUCCCUCAAACAAUCAGGUCCAUACCACUUGUCUUUCCAAAAUCGAAUUGCAUUCCCUUGUCCCAGCACGUUACUUAUAUUUGAUCGGAACCAGUCACCAUU